rnacentral:sRNA from 1 species
UUAUACUCUAUAAUCAACUACUGUGUGC